UGAAAAAGAAGCAUAAAGGAAAUCAGACAACAAAAGAGAAUUAGGACCUAAUGAACGUUCUUUCUUAGCUACUAAACGUAUAUGUUGAGUAUCAUGAGGUCGUAUCAUUAAUAAACGCAGGCACGUCUAGAUAUUUUCACAACAUUCCAUAGUGAAAUCAAUGCUAACAUUUUGUAGCAUGUGCUAACUUACUUGAUAUUGGAGUUCAACCAAGAUCUUGGUCUGUAGAAUGCUUGAUAUUGGAAAUCAUCCAUUUUCUCAAAUCAAUAUUGUAGCAGUCAAGUGUCUGUUUGGACUGUAGAAUGUUUGGAUAUUAGUAACUCCAAGGUCUUUCAUCAGCAACUUCAAGGUCUUUCAGAUCAAACUUGUUCUCAAACAUUUAUUUCGUUGUAUUUAUGUCAGAUUGCCCGCUCCAUUUAAGCAAGUACCGUUCGACAAUAUUGAUAUUGGAAAUCAUCCAAACAUUCUACGGUUCAAACAGGUACUUGGACUUGUAAUACCCCGUAUUAUAAUUAGCUAAGUUUAGCUUCUAGUUGCAUGCAUAAGAGGUUUAAAGCCUGAAAAUUUCACUAAGUGUUGGGGACUUAGUCAUUUUUAAGGUCACUUAACUUCGAGGAUUUUUAAAUUGGUCUUCCCGACCCCAAGAUGUUGGUUUUUGAGAUGAUUCAUGUUUAGGGGUGUAAGGAGCAUAUCUCGAAGAAGUUUUGAAUUUUUUGGACGAGAAUCGGGUAGCGUUUGGAUCACCGAAUUGAGCAGCUCACUGCAAUAGUGUCGCGUCGCGGUGCUAUUCCUGAUGGCACGUUCAUCGUGUCGCGGUGAGCAUGUAAACCGCAAUCCAGUUACGAAUUUAAUUGCCUGAGGGGAAAUUGUGUCUUUUUUCCUCAAUCCAACUCGUCAUGUCACGACUUAUAUCACUAGUUAGGGCGUUAUUUGCCCCUCUUCUUCAAUUCUCCUCUCAAAGAAACCCCAUUCAUCUCCCAAGAACAUCAAUUCAAUUACUUUCUCUUCAAGGAAACCAAGAAUUCAAGUUUUCAAAUCCAAGAACCUUCAAGAAAGCAUGAAGAUUGGUAUUUCUUUUUUCAAGAUUAAGGGUUUAAGGUAUGUGGGAGUUCAUCCAUGGGUCCCCUUUCACCCAUGGAGCCUAAGAACCCUUUUUGGUUUUUAAAUUAUGAGUUUUGAUGUUUCAAGUUGAAUUAUCUCCAUGAAUCUCUUGUUGAUUUCAAUUACGAGUUAUGGUUUCAUGUGUUUUCAAGUAGAAUGAGUCAUAUCAUGUUUGAGUAUUGAAAUUUCCAUACCAUGUUCAAUUGAUUUUAAGAUGAAUCCCCAAGUUAUAAGUUUAGCCAUGUUAUCCUUUUGUCUUCCCAUGUUUAAGACAUUCCCAUGUUCAAGUUCAUGAUUCCCAAGUGUUUGAUGAAAUGUCUAUGCUUUUGAGUCUUUGAACCAUGAUUCAAUCCCAAAGUUUUAAGCUUUAAUAUUGUAUUUUAUACCCAUUCAGUGCUGGUGGGUUAUGAACACCCGAUACCUAUAUGAUUUACAUAAAUUCAAUUUUUCAAAAAUUUAGACAAUUAAUCCAUAAAUCUUAUUAGUAUACUCAGAUAUCCAUAUUUAUGAUGAGCAAUAUCAGUUGAUGUGUUAUUAAUUAACCCAGAAUCCAUACGCACUGUCAUUUUCAGAAUACCAUGACCCGAGCUUACCAGUUAUUAGUUAAUAGUGCAUGCACCAGUUAGUAUUCCAAUGUCAUUCAAUUGGAAAUAGGAUUUAGCACCGAGUGAAACCAGGGAUGGAUUCCUGCCAUUUUAGGGUUCGACCCUUGGUAGCAAUCCCUGAGUUAUAGAACUACAUAGCCAAUAUAGGUUUGAGAUGUCUUCCUGCUAGUUUAGGGUUGACACAUAUCUCACGAGUUCUCCUGCCAGUUAGGGUGACUCUUUAGUCCUUCGGGAUACUAGUUUAGUGGAUCCACACAACCAGUGUUAGUACCUGUGGCACGGUACUGACACCCUUCCAACUGGGGUUACAGGUUGGACCCCAAUUAGCUAAAAUUGGGGCAUGUCAGUUAGAUGAUACCUCCCACAGUCUCAGUACAGUAUUCAAUAUAGUUUUAGUUCAGGUUUGCUUGACCAAAGCAUACAGACUUUCAGUUAUUCAGUUAUCAGAUUUUAGUUUUUUAGUUUACAUAUUAUUUCAGAAAUAUGCUUAUGCUUGGACUUGCAUUCUCAGAUAUUACAUUUUCAUGCAUCCAUGUUUAGUUAUCCCAUGUUGUUUAGUUAGUCCUUAUCUCAUAUACACAGUACUUCAUAGUUUCAGUGUAGUUAUUUAGACUAAGUUCAGUUUAGUAUUACAUGAUCAGUAUUUAGUCAUCAGUUAAUCAAUGUUCGGAUAUCAAUAGUCCGUGUUCAUAUAUUAGCUACUUAGUAUAUAGGUGUUGGUUAUCCCCUUUCUUAGAUUUCAAUCAUUUCGUCGCACAGGCAACAGUUAUUCAAGUAAUCAGAUUAGCUUUGGUUUCGUAUGUUCAUGUAUUCAUGUUUUACCGUACUCCAGCUUCUGCUCUACUUAUUCUACAAAAAGUAAAGUUUUAAGAAACUAAGUGUAGUGAUUCACCAGCUUAUCAGAUUAUGUUUGUUACUCAUGUUUUAAGAUAUUUCAGGUUUCAGUUUAUUUCAGUCUCUUGGUGAGUCUACUUACACUUAGCAUGCAUGUUUUAAGAUUACGUAUGAAGUCAGUUUUACUUAUUGCAUUCACCCCCACUUACUCAGUAUAUUCCAGAAGUACUGAUCCACAUAUACGUCUGUUUGGCUACAUUAUUUCAUAAUAUAGGUACCAGCUGUAGCCCAUGCCUCAGAUUAGACAAUUGCACUUUCCAGCCAGCAGGUGAUGAAUUCUCAUACUUUGGGGACUCCAAAAGUCAGAUGUUGUUUGUGUAAUUUAUAUUUUUAUUAUUCAUAUGUAUUGCUUAGUGGUAGUUGGAGGCAUGUCCUAGCUAUCUAUAGUCAGUAUAGUAGAGGCUUCAAAGAUGUCAGUCUUGUAAUUUCAGCUAUCUCUUCAGUUUCGUCAGAUUAUAAAUUGUAUCACUAUUAUAUUUUCCCUAGAUUUUAUCAUGAUUAUAUUUUUGCACGACAGAACUAGCUAUUUAAUAUACUAUAAAUCAGUUGCUCAAGCAGUACGCCAGUUCAUGGGUUAGCUUAGGAUUACUUGUGGUUCUAAGCACCGUAUUAUGACUAUGGGGUAGUCUCGAGUCAUGAAAAACUUGGGAUCAGAGCCCAGAGUUCAAGUUUCCUAGGGUGUGUAUGAAACCGUGUAUAGUAGAGUCUUGCCGAAUGAUACAGAGACGUCUGUAUUUUUCUUCGAGGGUCUACAAGGCAUUUAAGAAAUAUUUUCCUUCUUUCAUGUCUUAGAUCGUGCUGUAGAAAGGUUCUGUAAGAAACUUACACAGAUUCUCAUCUAGCUCUAUUCAUACCAUCUUUGCCUUAUUUUUGAGGUAAUAGAAACAGUGAAGCUCAAAUUUUUACAGAUAGAGCUUUCUCAGUGUAACGCCCUGAGUAUGUACCCUGGACGCCAUAAGGUGCUUACAACCCCGAAGGACCACAAGUAAACCUAUGACUGAUAUCUGCUGUGAGCACUGAGUAACAAUACUGUAAUAAAUGCGGAAAAAUAGGCUGAAAUAUCAUAAUGUUCAAAACUUGAAAUACUGAUAAAGAAUACCAGCUGUAAUAAUAAUUUGUACAACUGAAUACUGUCUAAAAGUCUAGUCUAAAAGCCUCUACCUGUCUGACUAUGGAGUUGAUGGGACAAGUUCCCAACUAACUCUGACUACUAAAAUAAAAUGAAUACUGACAUAAUGAAAUGAUAUGAUACCUUUGUCCUCGAACUAUGAAGACUCACCACUAAGUCUACUGCUGAUAGUCUGGUCUACUAAGUACGGUCUGGAGCCCGUACAUAUGAACUAUGAUAUAAAAUAUCAUAGCACAAAAGAAAAGGUAUACAUCGGUACUUUGAAUGUACUGGUAUGCUAAGUGAGAUAGGCUGAUAUGCAAGGGUUCAUAUGUAUGAAUAAUAACUGACUGAAUAACAUGAAUACAUUUGAAUGAGAGUACAUGUAUAACUGAAACUGAUGAAACACUGAUUAUGCAAUACUGUGCAUAGAUCUUCAUACACUUUGUCUGAGAUCAUAGUAAUAUUGGAUACUAAAUUCUGAUAAUUGAAUAACUGAUAUCUGAGUUUACUGAUAAUUGUAUUAAUGAUAGUUAGGUGAUUAUUUCUGACAGUCCUGAUUCUGUAGAACUGAACUGAGUUCUAUACUGAGUUGGGUAACUGUGUCUGACAACCUUGAUUCUGUAGAACUGAACUGAGUUCUAUACUAAGGCUGAAACUAAAACUGUGGAAGGUAAUCAUCUAAUUGAUAUAACCCUUCUCUAAACUGAUUAGGGGUCUAACCUGUAUUUCAGUUGGAAGGGUGUAAGUAUCGUGCCACGAGUAAAGACAAGUGCUGAGUCACUUUCAUCUGGCAGCUGCUCUAAAUGAGAAUGGUGGUACCCUCAACUGGCAGGUAGAACACCUCAUCAACCCUCAACUGGCAGGUUGGUGUCUCAACCUAUGCUGGCUAUGCAAUUAUGAAAUGUAAGGACUGCUCCUAAGGAUCACAUCCUCUACUGGCAGGUGAGUCCCCAUCCUUGGGUUCACUCGGUGCUGAAUCCUUCUCCUAACUAAAUAGAUACUGAACUACUUUCUAAACUGUUCUAGGAGAGAAUGAACUAUUACUGACCGUGUUGACUGACUGAACUGGACUGAGUUCACUGAGUAUUGUAACUGAUUGAUUGUUUUGAGUUCUAUAUGCUGACUGGAUAUAUUGAGUUUUGUACUGACUAAAUGCUACUAUACGUGACAUUACUGAGACUAUUCUAAAGCAACUGUAAUUCUAGGUAAACAGCUAGCUUGUCAGGUAUUAAAUACCCCCAGGACUCGAUGACAUAAAAAGUAAAGCAUAGCAUGAUCUUGAAAAGCAUUAUAAUGUUCAUAACUCAUCCAUAGAGACGUUUUACCUAACACUUGUAAGAUAUAAGCUUAUAGAUAUGCUAGCAUGCCAUGAUUUCCCCGUUUAAUCCACAUGAGCAAUUUAUCAAACAAUUGGGGAACAUAAUCUAUGAUCAUAAUACUAAUCAACAUGUAGGCAUCAUGAUUUCCCAUCCCAACUUACAAAUUCAAGGGCUUUAACAUGAAUUCACAUAAUACUACAUAUAUGUCAAAUAAAUUUACAUGAAUCUUGUAAUAAAUCAUGAAUUAGAAAUUCAAUUAACAUCAUAAUCAUGAAUACAUUAAAGCCCAACAUGGAAUUCAUGAAUUCAAUAAACUUGAAGUUUUAAAAGAGGUUCUUGAACUCCAAGGGUGAAAGAAAACCCUUGGAUGAACACCUAACAUACCUUGGUACUUGAAUUUGUGAAGAUUGAUGGUGAAUUUCUUGAAUCUGGAUCUUGACUUUGAUGAGUUAGGAUUUGUUCUUGAAAGGAUUUGAGAGGAAGUGAGUGUAUUUUGCUUAUUGAGGGCUGAAUUUCAUGUUUUAGGGGCCGAUUAAGGAUGAGAAAAUAACCCAAAUAUCUCUCUGGACGUGGGCUUUUAAUGAUUGAAAGCGUGCCUAUGAUGCACAGCCCGAUGUGCUGCGUCAAUGGAAUCAAUGUGAUAACCAACGUGCCGAGUCGAGUUUGCGUUGGUUCACUGAAAUUACACUGAAAGCUGGGGAAAAAUUAUUUGUCAAUGCGAUAGAUGACGCGACACAUUAAGAUCGCAUCGACCCAUUGGUUUGGUCACCUGAACAUAGUUCAAACGAGGUCCAAAAAAUUUAAAACUCACCUGAAGUGACCUACUGACAUUCCUGAUAAUGACUAAACCUAAAAACUGAUACCUUAAGGUCAUAAGGGUCAUAAAAUAGGAUCUCUAACUUGCGAAGGCUAAAAUACUUCUAAGUAUAAACACUUAGCUAAAAUUUCUAAGUCUGAGACCUCUUUUCAAGCUUUAACAGACUGAGUUUAGCUUAGAAUUUUGUGAGGUUUUACACUCAGACAGUCCAUCCAGAAAAUUAUAGGAUUACAUGCAGGCUCAAAAGUAUCCCAUCAGUUCCGUUAUGUUCCAAAGUUUUAAAGAUUUCAUCCAUGAUCAUGUAAACUCAUUCACUAAGACAAAGUUAGAUGUGCUUUCAGAUCCCUUCUCAGAGUCUCUUAAUAGCAUGUGAUCUAGAGUUAGAAGCAUGAGCAGUAGUAAAGUAGGGAUAGUAUUGUUUGAAUUUAGUAGAUUAUGUAUCCAUGGGGUUAGUUGUGUGAUAGGUAAAUUAGAAGUCUUGAAAUAGUGCAUGGAAGAAUUUAUGUUUAUUGAUUCAAAAUUAAGUAUGAUGAUAUGAGUGUGAUUUAGAGAUGUGAUAUUAGUAGGCUAUAAAGAAAGUUAGUAUGGUUCAUUAAAGGUUUGGGGAUAUCACAUUAAGUGUUAGAAUCUAAGUUUGAAUCUUUAAAAAUUGAGCUAAUAGAAAGUAGUGUUGAAAUUAUUAAUAGUGUGAACUCAGUGUAUAGUGAUACUCAUGAAAAUUCUAAGUUAGGAAGUGUUUAAAGCUAUUGUUUGAUGACCAUUUGGGCUAUAGAAAGUUAAGAGUUGUAUCUCAGAAGAAAGUAUUAGCAGUGGAUUUUACACUUUCAGGUGUAGUCUUUCAGGGUGAAUUUGUUAUUGAUGAGUAUUGUCAUAUUCCAAACUUUAGAGUAAAGUAGUUGCAGUUUAGUUUAGAGUUUAUAAAAAGGGUUCCAUAGACUUAGUGUGAUGACUUAAAGCUAAGGGGGAUAUGUCAGAAUAAGUAACCAGGUCAGGUUCUCAGUUUCUAGUAAUGAUGCCAGUAUGUUGUAGAAUAGUAGUAAGGGAGGAUUAUGCCCAUGUCAUUCUUAUUUCAGUAUUUGUACUUCAGUUAUUAUGAUAUAUACUCAUGCCUUACAUGUCAGUUCCAUGAUCACAGCUCAAAUUCAUGCACUUCCCAUAGAAUCAUGUACGUUUCCAGUUCCUAGUAUAAGGAGUUCUAGUUUACUCAGAUGUACGAAUCACAUUCCAUGAAAUUUAUGAACUCCAAAUUUAGGUCAUACAGCUCAUGAUUCAUGUACUCAUGCUUUACAGUAUAUUCAAUUUCAGUGCUCAUGCUACACACUUAAUGAUCAAUGAAAUUCAGAUUAUGUCAUGUAUAUCCUUAAUUUUUAUCUUUGUAAUGAAUCCAUGUUGUGGAUACUGUAAUACCCCAAAAUAUCCAAAUCAAUAUUAGAGACAUGUACCAAUAUCAGGCAUAGUACAUCAUGGUUAUUUUAUAGUUUAUGAGUAGGUUAGAUUUAUAUUAAGAUUUCAAAUAACUCCCAGCUAUCAGACGAAUCAAAAACAUUCCUUACCGAUUGAAUUCUUGAGAAGGAUAUUGGUAUAGUCAACUUCAAACGAUCAUAUCUCUCAUUAUACUUGGAAUUUUUGAGGUCAUGACCUAUCAAAAGAUAGAUAAUUGAAUUAUCUUUCCAACGAUAUCAAUUUUGCCUAAAUCCAAUAUUGGAGAAAAUAGUUAUUCCUAUUUUACUCCAACAUGUCAGGCUGGAAACAGUGUGACGACAUUCGUGGUAGCUUACCACAUUUGUGAUGCCCUAUCACGAAGGUCGUCAGCCUUAGGCAGAAACUAGCUCCAGUAUGAUGAUAUUCGUGGUGGCUUACCACAUUUGUGACACCCUAUCAUGAAGGUCGUCAUCCUUAGGCAGAAACCAGCUCCAGUGUGACGAAAUUUGUGGUAGCUUACCACAUUUGUCAAGCCCUAUCACGAAGGUCAUCACCUUAGGUAGAAACUAUCUCUAGUGUGAAGACAUUCAUGGUAGCUUACCACAAUUAUGACACCAUGUCACAAAUGUCGUCAGCCUUAGACAGAAUCCGGCUUCUGUGAGAUGACAUUUUUGAUGGCUUACCACAUUUUUGAUGCCAUGUCACAAAUGUCGUCAGCCUUAGGCAGAAUCCAGCUUCUGUGUGAUGAUAUUUUUAACGGCUUGUCACAUUUUUGAUGCCUUGUCACAAAUGCCGUCAGCUAUUAUUUUCAGCAACUGAGAAUCUAUUUCAUAAGGGUAUUUUGGUCUUUUCUCUUCACUUCCCAUAACUUAUAACCCUAAAGAGGCAUAAUUUUUCCCAUUUUUCUUCAGUUAAGCAUCUCAAAAACCCUCUCUUACACUUUCAUCCACAAGAUUAGGGUUUUCUCUCAAUAUCAUCUCCCAGGAACAAGAACAUUCUUUCCCAAAGGGGUUAAACCCUAGUCAAGGAAAAUCAAGGGAAAGCCUAAGGAUUUCUUCAGGAACCUUCAAAAACAUUAGAUCUCUUUCAAGAUCAAGUUUUAAGGUAUGAGUAGUGUUCAUCUAUGGAUCCAAUCCGUUCAUAGAGCUUAAGAACCAUGUUUUAAAUAUUAUUUUUUAAACUUUUUGUGGUGAUAUGAGUAUGUACAUGUUGACGAUUGUUGUUCAAGUUUCAAGAUGAUAUCUAAGGAUGUUUUCAUGGAAUACAUGUGAUUGUUGGUUGAAAAUCCUGAACUUUGGGUGAGUAGAACUAAUGCAAGUAUGAAAUCCACCUAUGCCUUAAAGAAUGCAGUAAGGUGUUUGGUUAAAGUCCUAGGAUGUUAGAAGUUCAUAUUUACAUGAUUUCAUGAUAUCUAAAUGACAAGUCCAUGUUAGCGAUACACUUCAAUAUGAAUGCCCAUGCUAUUUAUGUAUUCUUAUGACGAUGUCAUGAAGCAUGUAUGAUGAUGGAAAUAUGAAUUUUGUGUGCGAAUNNNNNNNNNNNNNNNNCCUACCAUGUUUGAGGUGUUGAUUAAAUACAUGAAGUAUACUAUCCCCUACUUAUGAUAUAGUGAAUUAUGGACUCCAAUCUUAUGAUCAAGUCAUGUCAUGUGUGUCAGUUUCCUUCUAUCGAGUCCUGGGGGUAUUCAUACCCGAAAAAUAUAGCUGUGUGCUUAGAGCCAUGUCAUUUUGUCAUGAUAAACUCAGUCAAGCUAUAAUCAAUAGAAAUCAGUCAGUCAUGUGACUCAGGAAACAUCAGAAAUCCCAUGCUCUUAGUUAACUCUCAGAUAAUAGUACUACUUCAUCAGUCAAUGAAAGUCAGUUAAUCUAUCCAUGUACAGUUAGUUGAAUCAUGUUUAGUCUCUUCAGAUGGGAGUAGAAGUUAGCACCGAGUGAACCCAAGAAUGGGGACUCACCUACCAGUUUAGGGUGUGUUUCUUAGCAGCCAUCCUUUUGUUCCAGAACUACUAGCCAACGUAGAUUGAGACAUCUUAGCCUGUCAGAUUAGGGUUGAUGAGGUGGCUUAACCUAUCAGUUUAGGGUUCCCACCAUUCUCCUUUCGAAUACUUGACAGCUAAGGGUCACCCACAACUAUCCUUACUAGUGGUAUGGUAUUGACACCCCUCCAGUCGGGGCAGAGAUUGGACCCCAGCUUAGCCAUAAUGGCAUACAUGGGACAUGUCGGUUAAACAACUACCUCUUACAGUUUCAAAAUCAGUCUCAGUAAAAUAACUCAGAUAGGUCUUUAAAUUUUAGUAUAUCAGGACUGUUAGGUACAGUCAGACUUAGUUACAAUAUGGAACUCAGAUAGUUCCAUCAGAUUCAGGAUUGUCAAAUAUAGUCGCCUAUGUUAUCAGAAUUUUAGUAUCAAUUAUGUUAUCCAUCAGUAAACCAUGUAUUAGUAUACAGGACUAGCUAUCAUGCACUUACAAUUUCAGUUACUAUGUAUACAUGUUUGUACUCUUACGUUCAUGUCAGUCAGACAGUUAGCAUUGUUCAUCCAUGUAAACCCUAUUUAUAUUUAGCCUACCUCACUCGUAUACUCAGUACAUCCCCUCGUACUAACCCGUUUGCGCUAUGGUGCUUUCUUUUCAUGUUACACCAUAGGUUCAGAGACACGAGAUCCAGAUCGAUAGUAGCAGUUGCAUUUCCAGUCGCAGAUAUUCAGUGAGUCCUCUUCAUUCGAGGAUAAUAUGAUUGUAUUUAGUUAUUAUUAUUUUAGCCAGUUAUCAGUUUACGGAGUUAGUUGGAGACAUGUUCCUUCAACUCCUUAUUCAGACAACACUUAGAGGUUUUUAGAUUCAGUAUUCAAACUUAUGUUUAGAUUUGAUUUAGUUUUCAGCUCUUUUGGGUAUCUUUCACCCAUAUGAAUAUUAUGUUCUGACAGAUUCUUUAUUCAGUUGAACCUUAUGGCCUACAUGUUUAUAUUUUGUGUAUUAUUACGUUAUAUAUACAGUGUAC
rnacentral:lncRNA from 1 species